CCUACGGGAGGCAGCAGUGGGGAAUAUUGGACAAUGGGGGGAACCCUGAUCCAGCGACGCCGCGUGAGUGAAGAAGUAUUUCGGUAUGUAAAGCUCUAUCAGCAGGGAAGAAAAUGACGGUACCUGACUAAGAAGCCCCGGCUAACUCCGUGCCAGCAGCCGCGGUAAUACGGAGGAUGCGAGCGUUAUCCGGAUUUAUUGGGUUUAAAGGGUGCGUAGGCGGAUUUUUAAUGCAGCGGUAAAAUGUCCGGGCUUAACCCGGGCCGGCCGUUGAUACUGGGGAUCUUGAGUGGGCGAGAAGUAGGCGGAAUGCGUGGUGUAGCGGUGAAAUGCAUAGAUAUCACGCAGAACUCCGAUUGCGAAGGCAGCAUACCGGCGCCCGACUGACGCUGAGGCACGAGAGCGUGGGGAUCGAACAGGAUUAGAUACCCCAGUAGUC
rnacentral:rRNA from 1 species